rnacentral:rRNA from 1 species
AGUGAACGCUGGCGGCGUGCUUAACACAUGCAAGUCGAACGAGAACGGGUUGUAGCUUGCUAUAAUUGUCAGCUAAGUGGCGCACGGGUGAGUAAUGUAUAGGUAAUAUGCCUCUUACUAAGGGAUAACAAAUGGAAACGUUUGCUAAUACCUUAUACUCCUUAUUAACAGAAGUUAAUAAGGGAAAGAUUUAUUGGUAAGAGAUUAGCCUGUAUUGUAUCAGUUAGUUGGUGAGGUAAUGGCUUACCAAGACUAUGACACAUAACUGGUUUGAGAGGAUGAUCAGUCACACUGGAACUGAGACACAGUCCAGACUCCUACGGGAGGCAGCAGUGGGGAAUAUUGCACAAUGGACGAAAGUCUGAUGCAGCAACGCCGCGUGGAGGAUGACACAUUUCGGUGCGUAAACUCCUUUUAUAUGAGAAGAUAAUGACGGUAUUAUAUGAAUAAGCACCGGCUAACUCCGUGCCAGCAGCCGCCGUAA